rnacentral:misc_RNA from 1 species
CCGAGUUUACAACUCCCAAACCCCUGUGAACAUACCUAUACGUUGCCUCGGCGGAUCAGCCCGCGCCCCGUAAAGGGGGACCGCCAGAGGACCCCUAAACUCUGUUCUUUCGUGAACAUUGUCUGAGUGUUAACCAACAAAAUAAAUCA